rnacentral:rRNA from 1 species
UACGGAGGGAGCUAGCGUUGUUCGGAAUUACUGGGCGCAAAGCGCACGUAGGCGGCUUUGUAAGUUGGAGGUGAUAGCCUGGAGCUCAACUCCAGAAUUGCCUUUAAGACUGCAUCGCUUCGAAUCCAGGAGAGGUGAGUGGAAUUCCGAGUGUAGAGGUGAAAUUCGUAGAUAUUCGGAAGAACACCAGUGGCGAAGGUUCACUCACUGGAGGGUUAUGACGCUGAGGUGCGAAA